UUUACCAAUCUGGAAGAUAAAUAUUUUAAUCUGUGUAUCUAUAAAUAUAAGUAAAAUUAAACCACUAUUCCACUGCAUGGGUCAUCUUUUUCUUUUUUGUUUUCGAGGAGUCUCACUCUGUCGCCCAGGCUGGAGUGCAAUGGCAAGAUCUCAGCUCACUGCAACCUCCACCUCCCGGGUUCAAGCAAUUCUCUUGACUCAGCCUCCCAACUAGCUGGGAUUACAGGCACCUGCCACCACACCCGGCUAAUUUUUGCAUUUUUAGUAGAGAUGGGGUUUCACCAUGUUGGCCAGGCUGGUCUUCAACUCCUGACCUCAGGUGAUCCACCCGCCUUGGCCUCCCAAAGUGCUGGGAUUACAGGCGUGAGCCACCGUGCCCAGUCGGUUCAUCUUU
rnacentral:lncRNA from 10 species